GUUUCAACGUAUGAAUUUGGGAGAGACACACACGCACAUUCAGUCCAUGACGAGGGUCUUUGGUCAGACAUGAUUGAUAUUAACAAGAGGAGGGCUAUUACCUUGUAGAUGUUUCCCUCUGAGGGACCAGAAACCUCCUCAGGGACCUCAAGGAACUGAGUACUCUCCAUGAUGGAGCCAGCAUUCUGCAGAGAAGGCAAAACUAUAGGAAAAAUCCAAGGAGGCCGUGGGGGAGGAGAAGAGAGGAGAGAGAAGGGGCUCCUGAGUGCUGGGUGUUGUGGUACUUCUCAAGCAAUGGUAUCUGGCAAUUCGGCCUUGGCUGGGGGUAGGCAGGACACGGGCUCUCUGGCUAUCACGAGGUUCUGGUGCUUCCUGUGUGGGGACCUGGGAGCCAUUUUUCUGAGCACACAGGAGUGGAGCAAGCCCACAGUUGUGUUGUGGUUUCCUGUGUACAUGACGAUUGCAAACCCACAGUCGACAUCACACGUGGGAUAUUUUUGAACAGCAUGAUGACAGUGGCACAUUGAGGGCCCUCAGCCCUCUCCACUGGAAUGGAGCAGAGAGGGACGCAGUGGCAGUAAAGGCAGGACCAUUGUUGUAUAAGAAACUCCAAGUAUUUGCACUCUGUCGUUCUCUUCUUCCACUCGUGUAAGCUCUCUGCAGCAGAGCUGUAUAGUUGUGUAGGUACACUGUACAACUGCUGAAGGCGUCAUUCACAACCUGUGCAACUCUGACUGGCAGCUCUCUGUGAAGCCCGAGACCACAAGGAACCCAGGAGCCACGCCCAAACUGCCAUUUCAAAAAGACCUGUCACCUUGAGAGGGGCAGCUGACCUUUUCACAAACAUCGGUAUGAUGUUUGCUGAUAAGGCCUAAUACCCAUGGGGAAGGCGGAGAAAGGGCUGCAUUUUAGAAGGGACCUCAGAGGAGGAAUAAAACAUUUUGUCUGAGAGAAUGACAACCAGUGGGAUGGACAGUUUGGAAGCGAGGAACCCUGCCUAAAUCCUCUUCAAGCUGCAACUUAUUCCUUUCCCAUAUAGGAAGCAAGAACUUUGUAAGCCACAGUAACUGCUGCAGCUUCCAAGGACCAAGUGGACGUGUCACUUGCAGGAUGUUCUGAGACCUCCAAGGAAGAAAAGGGCCCUUCAAUCAUCAAUCAAGCAAUAUUUAUUGAGUGUAUAUAAUAAUGCCACAUACCAAGUAUAGGAUCGCAUCCCCACACAUUUACCUGAAGGAGACUAGACUGUGAGCACUUCCAGGCAGAAACCAGGUCUCUAUCGAUGAGGAGCAGCACAGCGGUGUGAGACCACGGGCUAUGGAGUCAGCCAGACUUGUAUUUGAAAGCCAAACCUGGAGUAAGACACCCUGGGCAAGAUUUUUAUCAUCUCAGGAUCUCUGUCUCAUUAGCUGCAAAAACAGUACUUCCUCAUAAGCUGUCGUAAGGAUUCAAUGUGGUAAUAAUACAAAGCGGCUGGCACUGAGUCUGACACAUCAUGGAUGCUCAGUAAAUGUUGGAUGAAGAAAGUGCAGGAAGAGAAGCUUCAAACAGAGCUUGUGGUGAGCUGUGAGAGAGCCUUUGUGGGUCACCGUGGCCUCGGCCAUCCUGGCGGAGAUGAGGCAGAGCUGAGUGGAGUUAAGGCCAGACUCUGUCUCUAGAGGAGGUGCUCACUGAGCAGGAGGAAGGUGACAUCCAGGGCUGGUGGAGAGCAAGACAAGGAAGACUAGAAGUGAACGUGGGAGGUCUCGGUGAGAUUGCCUGCAGCAUUUGGCUAUGACAGGGCCAUCACUCCAGGCCCAGCUCCAAGGGGCAGGCUUGACAAGUGCCUGAAGCUGGCGUUGGACAGUAGGAAGCACAUCAUCCUCUCUGACUCGGGAGCUUUAAAAACACACUUGCCUGGUCCCCACCUCCAGAGAUUUGGUUUCAAGUGCUCUAAAGUAGACCCAGGGCUGAGCAUUUUAAAAAACUCUUCAGAGAAUUCUAAGGCAGGGAAGGCUGAGAAUCACACUUUAGAAUAGAGGAGGUGCCAUACCUCAUAGGCCAGAUAAGGACCAAGUUUGCUCCUAUACCCCCAGACUGUUCCGCUGAGCAUCACUGAGGGGAUGGGAGGUGGUAGGUGGCUGCUACUCCCUUGCCUGCCCUGGUGAGGACUGGCUCAGUACCAGAGCGGGCCCAUCCACAGACCAAGUGGCAGGGAGCAGGGAGAGACAAGGGUAGAAAAAAAUGAGGCUGAUGGACAUAGUCUUUCUGAUCUCAAAAUCCCAGCCUGCCUCUCCAGCCCCUCCCCAGAGGAGACCAGCUGCUCUUUGGGAGAGGGAGGUCCUUUGCGAAGUGACGGGUUGGAGGAACACCUUCUCUUUCUUCAUAGCCACUCUGAUGGCACAGGGGAAACCAGCGGGGAGCUGCUGUUCACUUCUCCGGGAGAAAAACUCAGUGAUGGAAGCUUAGAACUCAUGGUCAUUCUAAGAAUGUAAGGAAUUUUUUUUUAGAUAAGUAGUAAGUCCCCAGCCAGCUGCAGAACCCUCUUAGCUUGAAGAGGUCAUAAACAAGGAUGAGAAAAAAGGAAGGGAGGAACUCAUGAAAAAUUAGAUCUGCUGACAUUUGUUUGGAAACUGCCUAGUUCUCCACUCUGUGGAUUUCCACAGUCUGUAUGUGUACAAGGUAAUCAGGAUGAUACACCUAUUACAGCUCACAAGGAAUAGACCCACCAAGAAGUGGUAUCAUGAAGUGACUUCUAGUAAAAUCUGCCCUUUAUUUUAUCACCCUGGUCCUCACUAGACCCUGCAAAUAUUUCAUCAUGCAAACCCGAUCAAAAGUUAUUGAUCAUGAAGAAAGAAUAUAUAUAUAUAUUCAUAUAUAUAUGUGUGUGUAUAACUGAAUCAUUUUGCUGUACAUCUGAAACUAACAUAACAUUGUAA